UUGAGGUAUCCUUUUUGUGUGUCUGUCCAGGCCAACAAGUGUGCAAGGCAGAAAAAGGGAGACCGUGUUACAAGCUGGCCUAUUUCUCGGAGCUGCGCUGGAAGCUGAACUGUGAGGAGGCAGAGAAUGCUUGCAGGCGAGACGGAGGCCAGCUGCUAAGCAUCGAGUCUGCAUCUGAGCAGAAGGUCAUAGAGCAGCUCAUCAGAGAUCUUCGUCCCACGGAUGGAGACUUCUGGAUAGGGCUUCGGCGUGGACUGGGACACGAGGACAGCAGUUCGGACUGCUCGUCCCAGUACUACUGGCUGGACAGUGGAAAAUUCACGAUCAGUGUGUGUGGUGAUGUACCACCAACCGUCGGCUCCCGCAGAUCACGGUGACCUCUACAUGUUCCAGUGGAAUGACGACAACUGUGAAACCAAGAACAAUUUCAUCUGCAAAUACACAACAGAAAAGCCAGUGGAAAGCACUCUGUCGCCCACCUCCAGUGAGAAAGGUAAAUUACAUGACAGCACACUGUUAUUGGACAUUUCUGCUACUUUAAGGAAUAUAUGUAGAGUGCGAUCGCCUGAGACAUCAUUACAUUGCAGAGGUCUUUUUUUCAUCCGCACUUCCCAUGGGAUCCAAGUGACAACAACCAGGAAAUGAGAACAGGUCAAACAAAGUCUGCAAUUGCUGCCUAACAUUUACCCCAUACAUCUGUCUCUAUCUUUUAUCUGUGAAUUUAGUUUAUGUCAUCAUUCCCACGAUCCCACUCAUCCUGCUGCUGCUGACAGUGAUGGGAGUCUGCUGCUACAAACUGCUGCUCAGACAAUGAGAAGCUAAAUUAAUUAAAGAAAAUGAAAACAGACUACCGAAAAUAAAGAGGACUCCUCAUCAGUCAGGUGUACUUCUUAUAAUUCUACAAAAUAAUAAUAAACCAGGUUAUGGGACUGUUUUAAUUUCUAUUAUUAAAGAGGCAACAUUUCCUAGCUUUA